CUUGGAUUUAGAUGCCUAGUUCAAAGUUGCCUAGAAAGCGAAAGCACCAUGAAGGAAGCUAAUUUUUUUGCAGGAAUGUAAGCUCACUGAAGAGGAUGUGGAAUGAUCAAAAAUAAUGCUCUCCAUGUCUGUUUUUCCACAUCUCCAUAAGAAUAAGAUUUUCAAGUCUGAGUGUUGAUGGUCAACCCAAUGAUCAGCUGAAAUACUUGAGUGACUCAAGAGAGAUAUUGAUAGUGACAUGUAAUAUAUUUCCAUUUUCAUGGUCUACUCACUGCUUCUAACAUAGGAGCUGAAAAUUGUCACUGGAAGACUAUUUCUGGACUUGAUCAACAGAAUGGUUAAGCACAAGAGAAUGGUAAUAAAAAUUUCUAUAGCUGUGCAGGAGUGCACCCCUGUUAGCUUCCAACUUAGAGCAAAAAUAUCAUGUCUUAACAGCUGCUGUGACGAGGUAAUACCAGAUCCUCUUCUGACAUUUAAGAAGGUGGUACUCUUACUUGCUCAAAGGCUAUAAAAUGUGGAUAUUUAUCUUCUGGCAAGCAAAACCCAUCCUUCAUUUCCAUGGAGCUGAACGAACAAAGAUCUGUCCACUUGUGUUUGAAUCAUCUCACCAAACAUUUGAUUCACCAGAUGACUUCCCCCACAGAAGUAGCCCACUGUUUUAUCAAAACUCAAAAACAGAGUAAUGGAAAUCAGCAUUUGUUUUCCUGAAAAAAAUGUCUUCUGUGCCAGCUCUUCAUUCAGCUUUCUGCAUUCUGUUUUAAAAUGAGAAAUACUCUGUAAUAAGAUGCAAGUGGAAGCUGGUGUUUUUCACUGAUAAUUCCUUCUUAAUUUUAGGAAGGUUAAGUAUUUUGCUGUGUCAAAUUGGAAUUCCUAGCAGAUAAAGUGUCUGAAUGCAUUGCUGUGUCAGACUGACCUGAUACAUAUGAAAAGUUGCAGCAGGAAAACCAGAACAUUCUCUGCUCUGAUAUGAGGAAGAAACUUAGCAAACAACAUCUCUUACAGGUAUUUUCUAGUCCAGGUCCUAAGCUUGACUUUGUAGAUAGGUGUCAACUCACAUAAAGCAGCUAAUGCACAAGAACAAACACAGAAUCAUCUUGUCUAUACUGUGUAUCCCAGUCUGUGAUCAAAAUGUAUAUUUGCAUGUGUGAACCUCUGUAAGUGCAGGAUAUGAAGAGCUUUCACUAUAUGAAGAAGAAAUUACUCUGCAUCAUUUAAUUUUUAGCAAAGAAAAAGGAAGCUUUGAAGGCCUCUGGGGUAACAGGAUAAUGACUAGGUUUGCAUUAAAUCAUUCCCUUCCUCAGGCUUAUUAUGAAUCCUUAGCAUCAAAAGGAACAAGACCAUUCUACGGUAGAAGAAAUGGGCAGAACAUCUUUCUUUAUUAUAGAAAUUAACUUCUGAUGGGAUGGAAGAGACCAGAGCUGUAAAGUUUCAGUUUAUUCGUCUGGCUCCCUCGACACAAUUUCAGCUUUUCCUACUGCUGAUGGAAUCUUGCUUUUUGAUUCUUUCAUGAC
rnacentral:lncRNA from 1 species